AUAUCAAUAAGCGGAGGAAAAGAAACUAACAAGGAUUCCCCUAGUAACGGCGAGCGAACCGGGAAUAGCCCAACUUGAAAAUCUCCCUUUGGAGAAUUGUAGUCUAGAGAAGCGCUUUCUAGGGCUGGCGGAACUCAAGUCGGAUCGAAUGCCGCGUCAGAGAGGGUGAUAACCCCGUCGGUUCCUGCCUAGUCCUUCCACGAAGUGCUUUCCACGAGUCGGGUUGUUUGGGAAUGCAGCCCUAAUUUGGAGGUAAAUCCCUUCUAAGGCUAAAUACUGCCGAGAGACCGAUAGCGAACAAGUACCGUGAGGGAAAGAUGAAAAGAACUUUGAAAAGAGAGUUAAAAGUGCUUGAAAUUGUUGAGAGGGAAGCGAUUGGCGCUCGUAGGUGCGCCCAGGCUUAAGCGGUCCUAACGGCCCGUUGAAUGUGCUGGGUGCUGGUCAGAAUGGGUUGAGUUGGCGGGACAAAAGCUGGGUCCACCCAGGUAACCCGGCCGAUGCCGCCGACUCGACCAAGGCGUAAAGAGUACCUUGUCCUUCGGGAUCUGUGCUCUAAAGAUUCUGGCAGAAGAGCGUCAAUCGACCCGUCUUGAAACACGGACCAAGGANUCUAACAUGUAUGCGAGUUGGCGGGUGGAAAACCCGUAAGCGCAAGUAACCUGACUGGUGGGAUGGGGUAAAACCCUGCACCAUCGACCGACCAUGUUGUUUCUACGAAAGGUUUGAGUGCGAGCAUACCUGUUGGGACCCGAAAGAUGGUGAACUAUGCCUGAACAGGGUGAAGCCAGAGGAAACUCUGGUGGAGGCUCGUAGAUGUGCUGACGUGCAAAUCGCUUUUCAGACUUGGGUAUAGGGGCGAAAGACUAAUCGAACCAUCUAGUAGCUGGUUCCCUCCGAAGUUUCCCCCAGGAUAGCUGGAACUUGAUCAGUUUUAUCGGGUAAAGCGAAUGAUUAGAGGUUCGGGGGAUGAAACAUCCUUCACCUAUUCUCAAACUUUAAAUAGGUAAGACGUGUCGGUUGCUUAAUUGAACCGGCACAUUCAAUGUGAGCUCCAAGUGGGCCAUUUUUGGUAAGCAGAACUGGCGAUGCGGGAUGAACCGAUAGUCGAGUUAAGGUGCCAAACUACGCGCUAACCUAGAUCCCACAAAGGGUGUUGAUUGAUAUAAACAGCAGGACGGUGGUCAUGGAAGUCGAAAUCCGCUAAGGAGUGUGUAACAACUCACCUGCCGAAUCAAUUAGCCCCGAAAAUGGAUGGCGCUUAAGCGCGUGACCUAUACUCGGCCAUGGAAGCAAGUGCGACGCUUCCAUGAGUAGGAGGGCGUGGGUGUCGAGACUAAGCCUCUGGCGUGAGCCUGGGUGAAUCGGCAUCUAGUGCAGAUCUUGGUGGUAGUAACAAAUAUUCAAAUGAGAACUUUGAAGACUGAAGUGGAGAAAGGUCCAUGUGAACAGCAAUUGGACAUGGGUUAGUCCAUCCUAAGAGAUGGGGUAAUCCUGUGUGAAGAGCGCGAUUCGCGCUGCCCAUCNAAAGGGAAAAGGGUUAAGAUUCCCUUACUUGGACAAGGCGGCUGGCGGUAACGCAAGCGANCCCGGAGACAUCGGCAUCGGCCCUGGGAAGAGUUCUCUUUUCUUUUUAACAACGCGAAGGCCCUGGAAUCGAAUCAUUCGGAGAUAGGGCUCAGACGUUGGUAAAGCACCGCACUUCUCGCGGUGUCCGGCGCGCCGUUGACGGUCCUUGAAAAUCCGGGGGAGCAUUCCCGAUCUUGCCAAGUCGUACUCAUAACCGCAUCAGGUCUCCAAGGUGAACAGCCUCUAGUCGAUAGAACAAUGUAGAUAAGGGAAGUCGGCAAAAUGGAUCCGUAACUUCGGGAAAAGGAUUGGCUCUGANGGCUGGGCCUAGGGGUCUGCAGCUGCGAANCUCGGGACUGCGGUGGUCUACCCAGCUGGAAACGGCUGGGCGGACUGCUGCGUGUCCUGGGUGGACGGCUGUAGAAGCUUCGGCGUUCCCUAGGCGACGAACAGCCAACUCAGAACUGGUACGGACAAGGGGAAUCCGACUGUUUAAUUAAAACAAAGCAUUGUGAUGGUCCUAAAGGAUGUUGACACAAUGUGAUUUCUGCCCAGUGCUCUGA
rnacentral:rRNA from 1 species